CCUACGGGAGGCAGCAGUGGGGAAUAUUGCACAAUGGGCGCAAGCCUGAUGCAGCGACGCCGCGUGAGGGAUGGCGGCCUUCGGGUUGUAAACCUCUUUCAGUAGGGAAGAAGCGAGAGUGACGGUACCUGCAGAAGAAGCGCCAGCUAACUACGUGCCAGCAGCCGCGGUAAUACGUAGGGCGCAAGCGUUAUCCGGAUUUAUUGGGCGUAAAGAGCUCGUAGGCGGUUUGUCGCGUCUGCCGUGAAAGUCCGAGGCUCAACCUCGGAUCUGCGGUGGGUACGGGCAGACUAGAGUGAUGUAGGGGAGACUGGAAUUCCUGGUGUAGCGGUGAAAUGCGCAGAUAUCAGGAGGAACACCGAUGGCGAAGGCAGGUCUCUGGGCAUUUACUGACGCUGAGGAGCGAAAGCAUGGGGAGCGAACAGGAUUAGAUACCCUGGUAGUCCAUGCCGUAAACGUUGGGCACUAGGUGUGGGGGACAUUCCACGUUUUCCGCGCCGUAGCUAACGCAUUAAGUGCCCCGCCUGGGGAGUACGGCCGCAAGGCAAAACGUCAAAUGAAUUGACGG
rnacentral:rRNA from 1 species